GCUGGGUGCAGGGGCGCAUGCCUGUGAUCCCAGCGGCUAGGGAGGCUGAGGCAGGAGGAUCGUGAGUUUGAGAUCAGCCUCAGCAAUGGCGAGGCCCUAAGCAACUUAGUGAGAGCCUGUCUCUG
rnacentral:sRNA from 1 species